AAGAACUUUUGACCUAUGUUUAAAUGUUAAUAGGUCAGUGCUCAUGUUGUUAGUGUUCUCGAAAGAGCUGAUGAUGAAGAGCUCCAAUGUUAUUUGCUUCAACUGGUACAAGCUAUGCGGUUUGAACGCUCAGAUAAAUCUCGUCUUUCUCAGUUUCUCGUGCAGCGUUCAUUAACGAACAUCGAGUUUUCUAGCUUCCUUAGAUGAUAUGUUGUUGUCGAACUUCAUGUUCCUGCAUACACGAAAUGUUUUUAUUGUACGUAUGAGAUGCUGGAAGAAAAUAUGAUAAAGUUGGGAAUGGGGGCAUUUGACG